rnacentral:lncRNA from 1 species
UAACUUUUAAGACCAAGUGGACACAUCGAAUCAGGUCACACCUGAUCCUAGACUUAGCCUUAUCGAGGUCAUAUCUAAAUGGUAACGGUAAGUCACCAUUUAGUAAUUUUGUAAUAUUUGAAAUGAUUAAUAUAGGCCCAGGAUAAGUGCGGCCAGAUUCGGUAAGGUUGGGUGCUCCCUCCUUAUCCGGAUGGUCAAAGAUGGUUACUUUUGCAACGACAGUAUUCACGAUCAACGAGAUACCAUCUCUUGUCACAUCUGGAAAAUCACCAUACAAUCUUCUCUUUAACAUAGCACCCAUUCUCUCCAUUUUACGAAUAUGAUUAAAAAUAAAUAAAAGUUAUUUAUUAUUUAAAAAGAGAAAAGUUCUUACGAGAGAUGUAAUUUUUUUUUAUUUAACCGAUGUUUUUUUUUUGACUCAUUUAAAUCUUGAUUCAACUGAAAAUUAAGUAUUUAAAAAAUAUCAUUUAUCUCUCCAUUUUUAUUUUUAUUUUUAUCUUUUCAAAUUUUAAUGUGAUCAGCAAAUAGCCAAAUAACAUUUAGUUAUAUUUUGUAUAUCUCUUUGUUUGGUGCAUCACUUUUUGAAUAUUACUUUUAGAUAUGUUUGACAUAUCAUUCUAUUUAAACUCAAACUUUAGUAGGCAGUGCCAGUCUUGCAUCAUGUGAAAAGCAUUUAUAAUCAAUAAUAAAAAUAUAAACUAAGUAGACAGUAAUUUUUAUUAUACAUUAAUUGACAAACUUGCUCAUCACUUUAAUCAAUUCAUGGUAGGAUGAACGAUUAUGAAAAGGGAAAAAAAUCACAAGUCUAAUAUAUGCAUUCGAAAGUGUGAAUAUAACACAACCGGAUCAAAAAGGCAAACAAGGAAAUUUCGAAAUUGUGUUGGAAAUGUUAAUUAAGAAAUUGAGAAGCCCGUUACUGAUGGCAAUGACGAUUGCGCUGGUUUGAUAUCUGCGACAUGAUUCUCGUUCUCCAUUGAAGGUUCAUCUGCUAAUUCACCCACCGGCGAGGGAGGCAGGGGAACUAUAGGAAGGUUAACUAUGAAUCCCAUUAUGUCACCGGGUGCUUCUGACGAUUCUUGUGGAUUGGAAACUGGGGGAAUAGCAGGAAGUUCAAUUUCGAACCCAAAAAUGCUAGGUUCAUUGGCAGGAAGAGGAGCAUUUGUAGGAAAUUGAACCAAAAAACCCAUCAUGUCAGGGGCUGGAGAAGGAGUCAAGAGGUCUCUGGAAGCCGAGAUUUGGGUCAAGGUUGUUGUCAUCGAUAAUAAGAGCAAAACCAAGAAGAGACGAUGGUAUGGAGACAUUGAUUGGGUUGGAUGGAACGGAAAAUUCAAAUAUAUGGAUUAGCGUGGUUGUCUUUUGGCAUACAGGUAACAACAAUAUACAAGGUAAGGUUAAUAUAUACAUACAUGGGAUUCUUUCCUUUCUCUUCCUAUUUCAAGUUUGUAUGUUCGUUACUACAGUUAUAAA